AGAUCAUGAUGUGGGUGGUUCCUUAGUAGGCCCUUGUAACUCUCCCACGCCUCAUAAAGUGACUCUCUAAAUUUUUGUUCAAAAUUGGCUAUGGCUUUCUUCAACUU